rnacentral:rRNA from 1 species
UACGAAGGGGGCUAGCGUUGCUCGGAAUGACUGGGCGUAAAGCGUGCGCAGGCGGUUUUGUAAGCCAGGUGUGAAAUCCCCGGGCUCAACCUGGGAAUGGCAUUUGGGACUGCAAGGCUGGAGUGCGGCAGAGGAGACUGGAAUUCCUGGUGUAGCAGUGAAAUGCGUAGAUAUCAGGAGGAAUACCGAUGGCGAAGGCAGGUCUCUGGGCUGACACUGACGCUCAUGCACGAAAGCGUGGGGAGCAAACAGG